CCGGUGUUUGCUAACGCGGAGGUCAAUCGUGGAUCAGGGAAAGCGAAGGCAGGAGCGUGAGGUGAACUGAAUUUCAGUGUGAGUGCAUGGAAGGAUCUCACAGAUCAACAUGUGGUCCAGCCACCUCUGCUGCCCCAGCCUCACCUCCAGCUGAGACUCAGAAGAACAAAACAAAGAACGCUUCGUGGUGGCGCAUGAAGUCUGAGGAUGUUCUGGAGAAGGACUCAGCAGGUCCGAAGCCUCCAGUCUCAGCUGUACCUGAUAAAGAAGCCGUGGCAAGGUCAAAAUGCAGACAGCUACACUGACCUGGUCCUUUCUUCCCUGAACACCCGCGUUCAUCUGCUUAAAUAGUCAAUUCACCCUGGACUAUUCCAUUUGGUAGGUUAACCAGGAAGUUAUAAAUACAGGAAGUAAAACUACAUUUCCUCUCUUUGUUCCUAGAACACAGGUACGUAAGGUGAGUUCAAACUAAACCAAUUAAUAGUUGAAAUAAAUAACAUGUUAACUUAACAAACUUGUCAGAAUUGAUUUAAACCAAGAUGUUAUGUUAUAAAGUGCAAAACAUAAACAAACCUGGGAUAGUAGAUGUUUGCCUGGUGCAGACUACAUAUGAGAUGGGGCUAAAUCAAAACAAGAAUGUUAACUAAGGAUAUGGACAAGUGGUAUUCUCACCCACUUUGUCACACUCUCCUCACACUGAGAGUCAUUACUGAGGAGCUCUGCAGCCAGCUGCAGCUGUGGAGGUUUCACCCAGAGUGCCAGCUCAUCAGUCAGUUUGUGGACAUCAAAUUGAGCCGCUUCAACAACGACAGCUGGAACAAAAGCUCUGUCCUGACUGCUUUUAAAGACACGGUCGCUGUGUCUCAUCCAGAGUUUGACGACGACGAUCAGAAAGAUGCCCACGAGUUCCUCGUCUGUGCUCUGGACGUGCUCCAGUGUGAGUUCUCUAAGCUGCAGGCAGAAGCAGCUGCCUUGGACAAACCUUCCAUCUGUCCAGUUAGAGCUCACAUUGGCUUCACGAUGUUGAGAAUACAGUUGUCUGUAAUCCUGGAGUGGUGAGCUCGGACACUAUGCUUGACAUUUGCUCAGAGAGGACAAAACAACAAUAAAGCACACCAGUCUGUGGUUGUGAAUGCUUGCAAUUAAUUGUUAGGAGAUGGACUAAGCCCAGAUCAAGUAUCAUGUUUCACAUACUUUAUACUGUCACAAGGUUGUACAAACCUUUUUGCCAAGAUUUAAAACAAAUGUUAUUAUUUAUGCAUCUACAAUGUGCAUCUGACUGAUGAGUGACGAAACGUUUCUCCCACUGAAAACGCAACGUCCAGAUGAACAGAAUCAACCUUUUGGGAUUUACUAUCCUGGAUAACUGAGCAUGCAUCAAGACAUAUAAUGUGCUUAAAUUUUUGGAUGUGGAAAUUAUAUAGUGUAUUUAUUUUCAUAAUCACAAUGAUACUGACUGAAAUACUGACCAGUAUUCAGGUUUUUUAAUUGUUGUUGUGUCCACACACUUCAGGAGCUGCCACUGGUGUCAUUUUACUUGGGCCAGCACAGCUCAGUGUCCCUGACGUUCUGACCAAGAAGCCCUAAUGUAGCUACACACACACAAAAACCAAACAACAACAAAAAACCUUAUUGCUGAUUUAGGUGAUUAUUUCUUGCACAUAAACUUUCUCCACAGCGCUCCAUUAAGUGUUAAAUAAGUAUCCGGAUCAUGCAUCUUUCAUGUAUGGAUAUGUGCUGGUUUUCUUCAAGACUGGUAACCAAAGAUAUCCCGCUCAGGUGCACCUUAUGGAUGUGUAACAUGGUAGACUAAUGUGCCUGUGUUAAUUCAGGUCAUAUUAUUGUGUGAAGUUGCACUGGGUUGGGAGUGUGUGUGUGUGUGUGUGUGUGUGUGUGUGUGUGUGUGUGUGUGUGUGUGUGUGUGUGUGUGUGUGUGUGUGUGUGUGUGUGUGUGUGUGUGUGUGUGUGUGUGUGUGUGUGUGUCACAUUUUUGCUGAGCCAAUGGCUGGAAUGGGGUUGGACUAAUUAGAGGCAGGUGUACUUGAUUGCACUGAUACACUGGUCUACUUAUAGCCCACACUACAAACACUGCUGUGUCAUUUUGUCUCUCUGUGCAGGCCAGGGCCUAUUAUAUGCCACAGCCUAAAGGCAGCAGAGUUGCAGAGGCUGGAGUGACCACUGGCUAUAUGCUUGCAGGGUGGUGGGUCUCAGAGGACAACUUCUAACCCCGUUGAAGGCAACAUGUGGAGUGCAACUGACAGUGUGGCAUAGCUGGCUCUGGCCUUGGGACUGUGUGUUUUAUUUGAUUCAUAAAG
ensembl:lncRNA